rnacentral:rRNA from 1 species
UACGGGGGGGGCAAGCGUUGUUCGGAAUUACUGGGCGUAAAGGGUUCGUAGGUGGCUCGCUAAGUCAGACGUGAAAUCCCUCAGCUUAACUGGGGAACUGCGUCUGAGACUGGCAAGCUCGAGUGCAGGAGAGGAACGCGGAAUUCCAGGUGUAGCGGUGAAAUGCGUAGAUAUCGGGAGGAACACCUGUGGCGAAAGCGGCGCACUGGACCACAUCUGACGCUGAGGCGCGAAAGCUAGGGGAGCAAACAGG